GCCCUCCUCGGCAGCACAUACACUGAAGCUAUAAGCAUAUAGAGGAGAUCAGCAUGGCCCCUGGACAAGGAUGACAUGCACUUUCAGGAAGCAUCUCCUCUUUUU